rnacentral:lncRNA from 1 species
AUCAACACUAAUGCAGGAGCACCAGAUUAAAGCUCCUUAGAAUUUAACACCUUAAAUUCUGCAGUUUUCUUAUCACUCAUAGAAGGAGUGCCUGGGAGAAGUUGUGGCACAAAAUUCAUAAAGCAUCAUCCUCAGCCAUCUGGGGAAAUGUGUUUUUAGAAGGAAUUGUCACCACAGCUAAGGAGGAAGAACAGAUACAAUGGACACAUCAGGCAAAAUGGUGUUCCCACACGAGCGAGCGAGAGAAAAGAGAACAAAGGAAGGCCUGGAAGUGAAGGGGUGGCCAAGUUGAAUCUGCUUUUUAUAUGAUUGAAUAAAUUCAGAAUAUUCAAGUGACUUUCCCGAGGU